rnacentral:misc_RNA from 1 species
CUGUCAAACGUGGAAUAUCAUCAAAAACAUAAGAAAAAGGAAAGAAAGCUAUGAGAAACUCAUCAAAUAAUAAUAACAAUAAAUACAAUUAUAUUUAAACUGGACAAAUUCAAUCGCAUCAAGACGGCCACGAGCUUUGAGGAAAUAGCUGCAAUGGAACCGUCAGCCUGCGAAGAUCUCAAGGCCUUCGAGCGGCGCCUCACCGAAGUGGUUUCAUCGUACCGUCCCUCGACGUUCCGCUGGCGCAAACUUCUUGCAGUUGUCCUCUCCGCCAUGUCCAUGUGCACCGCCAUCAGCGCCUGGUACUGGCUACGCGAUCCGCGCACCACCGUCGUACCGCUAACGGAGUCCCUCUGGAUCCAUCCCAUCUUCACAGUCGCCACCCUGACAUUGAUCGUCCUCUUCAUCCUGGGCAUACAGAAACUAGUCAUAGCGCCGCAAAUCAUUACAUCGAGAACGCGAACGGUACUGGGAGACUUUAAUAUGAGCUGUGACGACACGGGGAAGCUGAUACUCAAGCCGCGCCAGAGUAACAACAACAGCACAUGAGCAGCGGCCAGCUUCCAGGACAUUUAUUUAGUUAAUUGCUAGUUCCCUUAUAAUUUUCUUUUUUCCUUUAUGUUGAUUCGGACACCCACGCUUUAAGCUCCAUUGUACAAAAAAAAACAAAAAGAGAAGAAAUCAAUUGUUAAGCUUUAUGAGUUUCGUUAAUGGCGUUACCCAUCGCUGCCAAAUACACCAAGCGACAUUUCAAUAUCAA